GACGAACGCUGGCGGCGUGCCUAAUACAUGCAAGUCGAACGCACAGUUCAUACCGUUGCUUGCUACACCAUAGACUGUGAGUUGCGAACGGCUGGGGUACGCUUAGCUAACCUGCCUGGUAGCGGGGGAUAACUAUGGGAAACAAUAGCUAAUACCGCAUGAUAUUCAUUAUUGGAUGAUAAUUAAUGGCGAGGUGCAAUGGCCUCACUACCAGUUGGCCUUGCGUUGUAUUAGCUAGUAGGUGAGGUAACGGCUCACCUAGGCGGCGAUACGUAGCCGACCGGAGGGGGUGGGCGGCCACACUGGGACGGAGACAGGGCCCAGACGGCUAAGGGAGGCAGCAGUAGGGAAACUUGGGCAAGGGACGGAAGUCUUACCGAGCAACGCCGCGUGAGGGAAGAAGGUUGUCGGAUCCGAAAGAUCUGUUGUAAGGGAAGAACGGGUGUGAGAGUGGAAAGUUCACACUGUGACGGUAUCUGACCAGAAAGCGACGGCUAACUACGUG
rnacentral:rRNA from 1 species